GGGUCAGUAGGUUGGUCGUGCCACCGGUACGUACUGGUCUCACUGAUUCCUCCUUCCUGAAGAACCGUAAUGCCAUUAAUUUGGUGUUGCGGGGAAACAGGACUGUUACUUUGAAAAAAUUAGAGUGUUUAAAGCAAGCUAACGCUUGAAUACAUUAGCGUGGAAUAAUGAAAUAGGACGAUCGAUCCUAUUUUGUUGGUUACUAGGAUUGACGUA
rnacentral:rRNA from 1 species